rnacentral:rRNA from 1 species
GAUGAACGCUGGCGGCGUGCCUAAUACAUGCAAGUCGAGCGAACGGACGAGAAGCUUGCUUUUCUGAUGUUAGCGGCGGACGGGUGAGUAACACGUGGAUAACCUACCUAUAAGACUGGGAUAACUUCGGGAAACCGGAGCUAAUACCGGAUAAUAUUUUGAACCGCAUGGUUCAAAAGUGAAAGACGGUCUUGCUGUCACUUAUAGAUGGAUCCGCGCUGCAUGAGCUAGUUGGUAAGGUAAAGGCUUAUCAAGGCAACGAUGCGUAGCCGACCUGAGAGGGGGAUCGGCCACACUAGAACGGAGACACGGUCCAGGCUCCUACGGGAGGCAGCAGUAGGGAAUCGUCCGCAAUGGGCGAAAGCAUGACGGAGCGAGGCCGAGUGAGUGAUGAAGGUCUUCGGAUCGUAAAACUCUGUUAUUAGGGAAGAACAGAUGUGUAAGUAACUGUGCACAUCGUGACGGUACCUAAUCAGAAAGCCACGGCUAACUACGUG